AUGACAACACAACCCAUGGACACAUUAAGUUGGAAUGUUUGUGGGCUGAACUACCCAGCUCGGAGGGAAACGGUUAGGGCAACGAUUGCCGCCACCUCAUGCCAGCUCGUCUAUCUUCAAGAGACAAAGCUCGACAACGUCGAUAAAUUCAUCGCUACCUUCCUGGGCGGCAAUAGACUUCAUAGCUUUGCACAACGCCCAACGUUAGGGACUAUGGGAAGAAUUCUUCUCGUAUGGGAUGACAAUGUUCUUGACAUCUUUGAUAUCACCGCAUCAACCUAUGGCCUCUCUGGCAUGGUCCAUAUCCGUGCAACCGACGUCUGCUUUAGGGUCAUGUCUGUAUAUGUGCCAACAGAUAAUGCUUGCAAAGAUGGGUUUUUUGCCGAGCCCAUCUCUCACAAGCCUCCCAAUGCGAUUGCAUGGCUAGCCCUUGGGGAUUUCAACCAAAUUUAUCACGCACAAGACAAAAAUAAGGAAAAAAUUAACCAGAGUAGGACCAAUCGCUUCCGGGCUGCGCUACAAUCUUGUGAGCUCAAGGAAAUUCACCUACAGAAUAGGCGCUUCACUUGGAGUAAUGAGCGGGACCCAACUCUUUGCAAGCUCGACUCCUUCUGUAAUGCAGAGCGGGAUAUGGCCUUCAACACCCAUGUGCUUCAUGAUUUGUGGUCUUCCCUCUCCGACCAUUGCCCCCUCCUACUGGCGGAUGACAAAGGGCCUAGAAGGCCAAGAUCUUUCACGUUUGAAAAUUUCUGGGCUUCUUUGCCUGGCUUCUCCGAGGUGGUGCAAAAGGCAUGGGACGAGCAUGUCGGGCACUCGGAGCCAUACCAAGUCCUAUACCACAAGCUCAAAAAAACCGCGACCCGGCUUACUGAGUGGAGCAAGAACCUGUUCUCCAAGGCAAAGGUCCAACUCCAUGCGGCCCUACUUGUGAUUCUUCACCUCGACAUUGUGCAAGAGGCGAGGGCCCUCUCUCCAAAGGAACGUGAAAUACGCUCGAGGCUCAAGCGGAGGGAGAUCAGUUUGGUGGUACUUGAGAGGACUAGGAAGAGCCAAUGUGCUCAGUUGGCAAACUUGAGGCAUGCGGAUGUAAACACAAAAUUCUUCCACUGCCGCAUCAAUGCCAGAAGAAGGAAGAAUCACAUUCACGAUAUUAAACACGCGCAUGGGUGGGUGACUGAGCACAAGGAAAAAGAGAAGAUCAUCCAUGACCAUUUCCCUGAGGUUAUGAGUAGGGGGCAUAGUAGCAACAAAGACUUCAACUAUGAUGAGCUUAGGGUGGAGACCUGA
rnacentral:rRNA from 1 species